AUUGAACGCUGGCGGCAUGCUUUACACAUGCAAGUCGAACGGCAGCGCGGGCUUCGGCCUGGCGGCGAGUGGCGAACGGGUGAGUAAUGCAUCGGAACGUGCCCCGUAGUGGGGGAUAGCCCGGCGAAAGCCGGAUUAAUACCGCAUACGACCUGAGGGUGAAAGCGGGGGACCGAAAGGCCUCGCGCUAUUGGAGCGGCCGAUGUCGGAUUAGCUAGUUGGUGGGGUAAAGGCUUACCAAGGCGACGAUCCGUAGCUGGUCUGAGAGGACGACCAGCCACACUGGGACUGAGACACGGCCCAGACUCCUACGGGAGGCAGCAGUGGGGAAUGUUGGACAAUGGGGGCAACCCUGGUCCAGCCAUGCCGCGUGCGAGGAGAAGGCCUUCGGGUUGUAAACCGCUUUUGUUCGGGAAGAAAUCCUCUGGGCUAAUACCCCGGGGGGAUGACGGUACCGGAAGAAUAAGCACCGGCUAACUACGUG
rnacentral:rRNA from 1 species